GGCUGGCCGGAGGGCUGCGUGCUGGCCCUUGAAGGGAGGGAUCUGCCCCGCACCCGCCCGAGGUGCGGCCUCGCGGACGGCUACUCGUGCCGCGCCCUGGGGACGCUGCUCCUCGUGUGCCCAAGGCCCUGGGGACGCCCGGCCCGGGGCGGGGGCUGCGCUGCUGAGCCGCUCACGCCACACUCCAGGAGCCAGAGACAGUAGGAUGGACAUUGGGAUGUGCUGAUCUCCCCUCAAGAUAGCACUGCUUGCCAAGCCCCUGGAAAUUGCUGCCACAUCAGACCCAACCCCAUCCUGAGGAGCCCCCAGCCCAGCUGAGGAAACACAGAGAAAAGCCACCUGUGGAAUGGCAAGAUGGUGAAUAGGACGGGGAGCUAGACGGCGGGGUAGGGGACAACACACACAGAUGUCAGGCCCAGUGAGAGGGGCUGGUGCCUUGACCUUCACCACUGUGGGGCCAGCACUGGUGUCCCCUCCCGGAGACCAGCACAAGCUGGGCCUUCACUGUAGGUCCAUGUCUGUCUGCCAUGGAGCAAGGCUGUGUCUCCUGCCUGACCCCCACACUGGGUCAUCCUCCUCUUGGGGUUUUGAUGUGUUUCUCCGCCAUUGA